UUUAUGACAUUUGAUUCCAAAAGUCGGUUUUCUCUAAACAAAAGUUUUAUUUAUUUUUAUAGCCAGAAACAAUGAUCAAUUAUUGUAACCAGUUAUAAGCUCACUGCACAUUUAUUUUGCUUCUAAAGUAAUCACAUAUUUCAGGGUGUUUACAUAUUUUUACUGGAAACAGAACAUUUUUACAGAAUACUAUUGUCUAACACAAUGUGUUACAGAAAACUUGACUUGUUUACUAAUUAUAUUGAAAGCUAAAUGUUAAAGGUUUAAGAUAGCACAUACUACAGAAAUAUCAAAAUUGAAAUUGAAAUGUCGCUGUCAGUGUUCUGUGCUUUUGUUUUGUUAUGUAGUCUCUUUAGUUGUAUUUCCUGUUCCUUUUCUGUUUCCUCUUUGUGAUUUCCUGAUUGUUCUCAUCGGUGUCUUGUUAGCCCUUGUAUUUAUAGCCCUCUUGUUUCCCUAGUACCUUGUUGAGCUUUGUUUGGGAUUUUUUCACUGUUGUGAGUUUAGUAUCAUGGUUCAGGUUCAUAGUUCAAGUAUAGUCUUAAGUUUGGUUCUGUUUAUUUUAUAUCCGUGUCACUCUCUGUAAAAUAAACUGCACUUGGGUUCAGUUUUGUUUUGCAGUCAGUGGAUCAUGCACUGUAACAAAUUUCUGUAGUUUUCACAGCAUUAUUACUGUAAAAUGAACAAAUCCUUACUGUAGAACCUGUACACAGCAUGUUGCUGUAAAUCUGCAAAGCAUCAUGGUUAAAUUUUAAUGGUGGGUAAAUUCUACAGUAAAUUUAUUUUUUGCUGUGAAUCACAAUAAAGAAAUUUUGAGCAGGGCUUUUUUUCAGCAGCAGAAACUGAGGAGAUUCCUCAAUUUCUUUAGGAUUUGUCUUCAACAAGGUAACUUUUCUCAUAUUUUGCAAUGUUAGGUUAAUUUACCAAGGCGUCCUCAUGUAAAUUCACCUGUGUUUAGGAGUGCGGCAGGAGAGAGAUGCAAAGAGCGGCACUACUAUGGCAUGAUGAAUCAAAUAACGAAGCGGGCUGAAGUAAAAUGCAGCAACAGGAAAUGACUCUAGCCCAGAAGGAACUUUCCCAUUCAGGAAUAAAGUUGGUAUUAAGGAUUUUGACGCUUAAAAUUCUACAGUUUUUAUAUUAUAUAUACUUUGUUUUAUUCAUUUCCAAUUGUAUCUGGAAAUUUUAAUUCAACUUCAACAAAGAUGAUGGAUUUGUAUGUUUAGGAGUGUUGUAUACCAAAUAAUAAAAAUGUAUAGCCUAUAAAUGUGUAUAUAAUAUAAAAUAUUUUAUGUCUAUG